UAGUCCACGCCCUAAACGAUGCUAACUCGAUAUUUGGAUCUUGAAUCUGAGUGUCUAAGCGAAAGCGAUAAGUUAGCCACCUGGGGAGUACGUUCGCAAGAUUAAAACUCAAAGAAAUUGACGGGGGCCCGCACAAGCGGUGGAGCAUGUGGUUUAAUUCGAAGCAACGCGCAGAACCUUACCUACCCUUGACAUGCCGGUCGCGAUUUCCAGAGAUGGAUUUCUUCAAUUCGGUUGGACCGUGCACAGGUGCUGCAUGGCCGUCGUCAGCUCGUGUCGUGAGAUGUUGGGUUAAGUCCCGCAACGAGCGCAACCCUCACUUUUAGUUGCCAGCAUUUAGUUGGGCACUCUAGAAGAACUGCCGGUGCUAAGCCGGAGGAAGGUGGGGAUGACGUCAGGUCCUCAUGGCCCUUACGGGUAGGGCUACACACGUGCUACAAUGGCGCUGACAGAGGGUUAAUCCCUAAAAGGCGUCUCAGUUCGGAUUGUCCUCUGCAACUCGAGGGC
rnacentral:rRNA from 1 species